UGUCCUGUAGCUCAAUAGGUUAGAGCACUUCGCUUAUAACGGAGAGGUUGUGGGUUCGAUCCCCACCAGGACAA
rnacentral:tRNA from 1 species